rnacentral:lncRNA from 10 species
AAAGAACCAUCAGACUGUGGGUCCUAGCAAAAGGCUGAAGCAUGGCAGCAUUUAGAGAUGAAAGCAGACAGGCAGGCCAGCAGAGGCCGGCAGUUCCUGUCCACAAAGCUUAGAAGGAGGAGCACAGUCACAACCAUGAAGUGGGGUUUAGAGAAAGCUGCUCAGUGCUGAAAAUGAUCAAAUCCUGAGCAGGUUAUCCACACAGGGACACAAGCAUGGCAGGACCAAAGAGUGAAGUGAUCUUUAAAAGCCAAGGAAAGGAAGACAGGAAAAAUGAAGAUAAAUCCCAAAAGAUCAAUAUUUACUUUUAGUCUGCAUUUAAGUGUGCAUCGUUGAGAGAAUCCACGGCAACUUUUAUUAAAGAUAGAAGUUGUACUUGCCAACACAUCAACAAUUUAUGUUUAGAAACAAGAUACUCAAUCUCAAGUUAUCUUCCCUCUUGCCAUGUUUGUGGACAUCCCCCCACUGCCCUUCAUCCUCAGAAAGGAACAGCCUCCUGUGGGUUGACUUGGUGAUAUCUGUCCAUAGAUAAUGUCUCCAGCCCCAGGCUCAUCACUCAGACAUCUGCCCUCAGGAGGACACGUUCAUCCCCAGCACCAGAGACAUGUCUGCCAAGGCUUUUGGAACUGAUUUUAUCCCCAUGCAAAAAGCUAGAUUCUAAUUCUGUCUGAUCACAAAAGGUUGAAUCAAAGCCCUACAACUGAGGUUCAUAGACCAAAACAAGAAAUACAUGGAAAAGUUGCCAAAGGAUUUUAGAAGAUCAGAGGCUGUAAUUCAUUAUAGAUGUGGAUCCUUUUGCUUUCCUCUAAGGAAAAAAAAUAUUCAAUUUUAUUAAGAAAAAAUUCCCACUAACUGUGGCCAUGUUCAAAGCACUCACAGAAAAUAUUUUGAACGCACAGGGUUUCGCUCAAGGAAGAAUAUUCAUCAUUUCAGGGUGGGGGAAAGGAGCUGGUCAUUCAUUUUCUCUCACCUUAUCCUAACAUUUAUAGUUAAAAAGGGAUGGAUUUGUCUUUGCCUAAUCUCCAUGACAAAGCAAUUCUUGCCUGACCUCUCAAAUUCUCCCCACUCCAGAGAUUGUAUGACCAGAAGGUGGGAUCAUAAAUUCCCAAGAGAUGACAAAGGUGAAAAUGGAAUCAACAAUCACUACCUAAAUUUUCAGGCUCUGAGACACCUUCCUAAACUAUAUGAAUAAGCCACAGCAAAAUGCUUAAAUCUCUCCAGCUAUUUUUUCUUUCAUUGAUAAGUUAUAUUUCUUUUUGAAGGAAAGAAAGUAUCUACCUCAGCUCUUAUUUGUUAAAACUUACAUAACAAAGACACUACAGGUGAAAACACAGCCACCAUCACUCUAUAUUAUUUUCUAAAAUGAUUUAUAACAUAACAUUCAGCAUAGAUAACAGUAAAAGUUUAAAGAGGAUCAUGAAAUACAAAAUAAAUCCAAUUUAAUAAAGUGAAAACAAAAUCAUUGUUCUUUUGUAAAUGUUGAUCACAAAGCUUAAAAAAUGUACUUGAAAUGAAAAGCUUCAGAAAUAAAACAGUUGUACCAAAUUCAGUUUAGUAUUUUGUAUUUAGUAUGUACCAAAUAAAUUUUUAUUAAAUUAUUCAUGAUCUGUGUCACCAACAACUGUGAUGAUCAAUACACAGUCAUAUGAUCUUGGGUGAAGUCUGUGCAGCUCAACAUAAUUCAGUUAAUUCAAUACUGUAAGUGCCGCUGCUAAUUUGCCCAAAUUAUACUAUCAAUUCCUCCUUAAUUAU